rnacentral:tRNA from 1 species
AGGCGAUGGCCGGCGGCGCGUACGUGGUGGGCUUCACCGGCCUGGGCGGGCGGGACUUCUUCGACCCGGCGUUCUGCGCGCCGAUCGCCGA